rnacentral:rRNA from 1 species
AGUGAACGCUGGCGGUAGGCCUAACACAUGCAAGUCGAACGGCAGCACAGUAAGAGCUUGCUCUUACGGGUGGCGAGUGGCGGACGGUUGAUGAAUACCUCGGAAUCUACUUUUUCGUGGGGGAUAACGUAGGGAAACUUACGCUAAUACCGCAUACGACCUACGGGUGGAAUCAUGGGAUCUUCGGACCUUGCGCGAUUGAAUGAGCCGAUGUCGGAUUAGCUAGUUGGCGGGGUAAAGGCCCACCAAGGCGACGAUCCGUAGCUGGUCUGAGAGGAGGAUCAGCCACACUGGAACUGAGACACGGUCCAGACUCCUACGGGAGGCAGCAGUGGGGAAUAUUGGACAAUGGGCGAAAGCCUGAUCCAGCCAUACCGCGUGGGUGGAGAAGGCCUUCGGGUUGUAAAGCCCUUUUGUUGGGAAAGAAGAGCAGCAGGUUAAUACCCCGCUGUUCUGACGGUACCCAAAGAAUAAGCACCGGCUAACUUCGUG